AGCAGCCGCGGUAAUUCCAGCUCCAAUAGCGUAUAUUAAAGUUGUUGCAGUUAAAAGCUCGUAGUUGAAUUUCGGGGUUAGUAGGUCGGUCAUGCCUCUGGUAUGUACUGGUCUCACUGAUUCCUCCUUCCUGAUGAACCGUAAUGCCAUUAAUUUGGUGUUGUGGGGAAUUUGGACUGUUACUUUGAAGAAAUUAGAGUGUUUAAAGCAAGCUAACGCUUGAAUACAUUAGCAUGGAAUAAUGAAAUAGGACGUUCGAUCCUAUUUUGUGGUUUCUAGGAUUGACGUAAUGAUUAAUAGGGAUAGUUGGGGCAUUAGUAUUCAAUUGUCAGAGGUGAAAUUCUUGGAUUUAUUGAAGACUAACUACUGCGAAAGCAUUUGCCAAGGAUGUUUUCAUUAAUCAAGAACGAAAGUUAGGGGAUCGAAGACGAUCAGAUACCGUCGUAGUCUUAACCAUAAACUAUG
rnacentral:rRNA from 1 species